UUUAUUAUUAUGUCGUUCAUGGUCACCUCCGGUUACGCGGAGGAGGGAUAGUUUUAUAAUAUAAACCAUAAAUAUAAUAAUAAUAAUAAUAAUAAUAACAUAAGUGUAUUAUAGGUACCUAACCUAAAGUUUACGCGGGUCGUUCAAGGACGGGCGUCGAGGGGACCGGGAGUGAAAGUGCCUUUCGGAGACGCGCUGGCGCCCGCGGGCGCUUCCAUACUAUUAUCAUUAUUAUUAUUGUUAUUAUUAUAUUAUCUAUGUGUACCGGAUCGCCGGCUGUUGAGGCCAUUUACCCACGGCGCUCCGGGCGACGGGUUCUCCGGUCGGCAGUACUGUAUCGUUACAAUAUAUGUCGUAUUACAGUAUUAUUAUCAUAUGAGCAUAUUACACAUAUAUAUAUAAGUAAUACCGGGUGAGCCGUCUCGCCGAGACGUCAUUUUUCACAUUUAGGGUCAUACCUCACUGUCUGCGUGAUCCGAGUAUACCUAUUAUAGUCGUGUAUAUAGUACGUAUGUUUUUUUUUUUUUUUUUCUAAUAAAGCGCCGCUGUAUGAGAAAAACAAUUGAAAAAAAAACCGUCCCGGUCACCGAUAACACGCGCUUAAAACGAGUAUUAGGUAAG